rnacentral:rRNA from 1 species
AUUGAACGCUGGCGGCAGGCUUAACCCAUGCAAGUCGAACGAGUGGCGGACGGGUGAGUAAUGCUUGGGAAUCUAGCUUAUGGAGGGGGAUAACUCCGGGAAACUGUAGCUAAUUCCGCGUACCCUAGGAUGAGCCCAAGUGGGCUUCGGUAGUUGGUGUGGUAAAGGCUCACCCAGCCGACUAUCUCUAGCUAGUCUGAGAGGAUGACCAGCCACGCUGGGACUGAGACACGGCCCAGAUUCCUACGGGAGGCAGCAGUGGGGAAUAUUGCGCAAUGGGGGCAACCUGACGCAGCCAUGCAGCGUGAAUGAAGAAGGCCUUCGGGUUGUAAAGUUCUUUCUGUAGCGAAGCGUUAACUACAGAAGAAGUAGCGGCUAACUCCGUGCCAGCAGCCGCGGUAAUAC